rnacentral:rRNA from 1 species
CCUACGGGUGGCAGCAGUGGGGAAUAUUGGGCAAUGGGCGCAAGCCUGACCCAGCGACGCCGCGUGGGUGAUGAAGGCCUUCGGGUCGUAAAGCCCUGUCGGGUGGAAAGAACGAUGGGGGGACGAAUAGCCCCUCCAUGUGACGGUACCACCGAAGGAAGCACCGGCCAAUUCCGUGCCAGCAGCCGCGGUAAGACGGAAGGUGCAAGCGUUGCUCGGAAUCACUGGGCGUAAAGGGUGCGUAGGCGGCUUGGUGGGUCUGGUGUGAAAGCCCA